rnacentral:rRNA from 1 species
CAGUCGCCGCGGUAAUACGUAGGGUGCGAGCGUUAAUCGGAAUUACUGGGCGUAAAGCGUGCGCAGGCGGUUAUAUAAGACAGAUGUGAAAUCCCCGGGCUCAACCUGGGACCUGCAUUUGUGACUGUAUAGCUAGAGUGCGGUAGAGGGGGAUGGAAUUCCGCGUGUAGCAGUGAAAUGCGUAGAUAUGCGGAGGAACACCGAUGGCGAAGGCAAUCCCCUGGACCUGUACUGACGCUCAUGCACGAAAGCGUGGGGAGCAAACAGGAUUAGAUACCCCUGUAGUCCCUGUCUCUUAUAC